AACGCACAUUGCGCCCGCCAGCAUUCUGGCGGGCAUGCCUGUUCGAGCGUCAUUUCAACCCUCAGGCCCCGCCUGGUGUUGGAGGACUGCGCACCGCAGCCUCCCAAAGCGAGCGGCGGCGGCGCCCCACAACCGAACGCAGUAGUUACUUCUCGUUCUGGGUCUGGGUCGUCGUCCUGCCGGAAAACCCCCUCCUUUCUAAUGGUUGACCUCGAAUCAGGUAGGAAUACCCGCUGAACUUAA
rnacentral:misc_RNA from 1 species